ACACUUUCGAUUUAUAUAAUAGACGACUUGCUAAAUGUCACUUGUUGCAGCUUCUUGUCUUUGGGAUCUUGAACGAUUUUAUGGGUGCGUGAGGAUCGUAAAAGAAAGCGGCAAAAACAAAAGUAGUUGGUUACUUAAUCUUAACUAAUCUAGAACUGCAUCUUCUAUCCAUACAUCUUAAAAUGAAAAUCGUUAUGCCAAAUUUCCAAAAUCUAGAUGAUUUUAUGGAUAAUCUGCAAAGUGAGACAUAUGCACCUAUAUCUUAGCCUCAUAUCAACAUUGUCAAAACAUUCCAGGAUCCAGCAGUAACCUAACACAUGACUGUUGGCUAUUCAAUAAAAUAAUAUACACGAAAAGUCAUGGAAUUCAUAUAAAUAAGAUGUCAUUAAAGCUGACUCUUAAUAUAU